GCAAGUCGAACGGUAGCAGGAAGUGCUUGCACUUUGCUGACGAGUGGCGGACGGGUGAGUAAUACUUGGGAAUGUGCCUUUGCGUGGGGGAUAACCAUUGGAAACGAUGGCUAAUACCGCAUGACGUCUACGGACCAAAGGGGGGACUUGUUCCUCCCGCGCGAAGAGCAGCCCAAGCGAGAUUAGCUAGUUGGUGAGGUAAUGGCUCACCAAGGCGACGAUCCCUAGCUGGUCUGAGAGGAUGAUC
rnacentral:rRNA from 1 species